UCCCCAAUAGUUCAGUUGGUAGAACACCGGACUGUUAAUCCGUAUGUCGCUGGUUCGAGUCCAGCUUGGGGAGCCA
rnacentral:tRNA from 16 species